rnacentral:rRNA from 1 species
AUGUAUAGGAAAAGAAAGAAGGAACUGUUAAAUAUGCUGGACAUGAUAGAUAAAAAUGCAGAAUUGAGAGGGAUUAAUGCCCAAGAAAGAAUUAUGCAGAAAGAACUGAGAAGGGAAUUGAAAGAAAUCUUCAAAUUAGAAGAAAUCAAGUGGUUACAGAGAUACAAAGAUAAGGAAAUCAAAGAAGGAGAUUCCAAUACUAGAUAUUAUCAUGCCAAAGUGAAUGGGAGGAGAAGGAAGAACAGGAUUGUCAGGUUAGAACAGGAUGAGGGUGUGAUUGAGGGAGAGAAAGAACUGAUUGAGUAUAUCACUACAUUCUAUAAAAAUCUUUUUGGUCAAGCUGAAAACUCUACUAUCAAUCUCAACAUACAAGGGUCUGCAGAGAUCUCUCCUCAAACACAAGAUGAAUUGGUUAAGGACUUCUCCAUGGAAGAGAUUAGGGAAGUGGUGUUCUCCAUGGAAAAAAAACAAAAGCCCAGGCCCUGA